rnacentral:lncRNA from 1 species
CGGAACACACAUGUAUCAUAUGAGAAUAAAAGCACUAUCCUUUGGUUAUCUGAAUAUCAUCUAAAGUAUUAAAUGUACAUUAAAAAUGUCAGCAACAUAAUAAAAAAAUAUUUUCAUGUAUUUGACUUAAAUUCAGUCCAGAAAAGAAGUUACUUACUAAAAAGUUCCAUCUUUUAACAGUUAUGCUUAAUAUGCAUUCUAUCAGCCACUUAUAAACUUUGCAUUUUUUCGAUUUAAGCUCAGUUAUUUAAUCUAUACAACACAAAAUAUACUUUUCCUGCUCAAAAAGGCUCGACCAAAUAUGAACAACUCACAUAAUCUUAGUUGCCUUGGUUGUAUAAUAA